rnacentral:ncRNA from 10 species
CUCGCGGUCUUUGGGGAGUAGCUUACUUAUUCAUAUCCUAUUGAAUGAGUUCGUUCGUCAACAUAAUUGAUGCAAAAUCAUCAUGGCGUUCGAGGCAACCACCACCUUGGUGGCGCUUAGCAAGACCUUAGACAAGCAU